AACUUGCUUCUAUGCGUUACGGCGGACGGGUGAGUACACGUGGGCACCUGCCUGUAAGACUGGGAUAACUUCGGGAAACCGAAGCUAAUACCGGAUAGGAUCUUCUCCUUCAUGGGAGAUGAUUGAAAGAUGGUUUCGGCUAUCACUUACAGAUGGGCCCGCGGUGCAUUAGCUAGUUGGUGAGGUAACGGCUCACCAAGGCAACGAUGCAUAGCCGACCUGAGAGGGUGAUCGGCCACACUGGGACUGAGACACGGCCCAGACUCCUACGGGAGGCAGCAGUAGGGAAUCUUCCGCAAUGGACGAAAGUCUGACGGAGCAACGCCGCGUGAGUGAUGAAGGCUUUCGGGUCGUAAAACUCUGUUGUUAGGGAAGAACAAGUACGAGAGUAACUGCUCGUACCUUGGACGGUACCUAACCAGAAAGCCACGGCUAACUACGUGCCAGCAGCCGCGGUAAUACGUAGGUGGCA
rnacentral:rRNA from 1 species